GCAUCUUCAGAUGGUGCCGAAUUCCAAUUCGGCACCAAACAUGAAAUGAAAGAGAUGAGAGGAAAAAGAGAAAAAAGUUUGAGUUUCAGACUCAACUCCUCCACUGAGAUUUGCAAACUCCAUAUAUAGAGCAGCGACGGAGCCGAAUAUAUUUAGCUGAGGGGCAUUCACCAUAUUUUUGAGGGGCAUUUUAUUGGACUGUGUGGUCAAUUGCCCACACGUGUCUCCUGCAGGCAAGGGCUAUGGACAUAUCAAGUUGGGAUCCCUCUUACAAGAAUGGGUUGGAAAGGCAUUCCACCAAGAGAAUACAGAGGGUUUCAUUACAUGCAUAGAGAAACUCCAAUGCGUAUUCAGCCUUUGCAAUUCAGAGGAUGGGACUGAAGAAUUCCAUGUACAUGGAAUAAUACACUGCUAAUCAAGAGGUCGACGUUGAAGAGGACCUGAUCUUCUUUGCCAUAACUCCUGACGGGCCUCGGAAUGUACAAACUAUUACCUUGCCUUCCGAUCGUUACCUGAUUUGCCUUCUUGCAAGAUCAACUUUUAAGCACAAAUUUAUAGUUUGUUUUCGCAGCAGCAACAAAAAAAAUUGUAGUUACUAAUUUCCAUUAAUUUAAGUCUAGAAUUAUUUAUAU